rnacentral:rRNA from 1 species
UGGUGGAGUGAUUUGUCUGGUUAAUUCCGAUAACGAACGAGACCUUAACCUGCUAAAUAGUCCCGCCGGCUUUGGCUGGCGGCUGACUUCUUAGAGGGACUAUCAGCGUUUAGCUGAUGGAAGUUUGAGGCAAUAACA